rnacentral:rRNA from 1 species
GCUAGCUACAGGCUUAACACAUGCAAGUCCAGGGGCAGCAUGGUCUUAGCUUGCUAAGGCCGAUGGCGACCGGCGCACGGGUGAGUAACACGUAUCCAACCUGCCGUCUACUCUUGGACAGCCUUCUGAAAGGAAGAUUAAUACAAGAUGGCAUCAUGAGUCCGCAUGUUCACAUGAUUAAAGGUAUUCCGGUAGACGUUGGGGAUGCGUUCCAUUAGAUAGUAGGCGGGGUAACGGCCCACCUAGUCUUCGAUGGAUAGGGGUUCUGAGAGGAAGGUCCCCCACAUUGGAACUGAGACACGGUCCAAACUCCUACGGGAGGCAGCAGUGAGGAAUAUUGGUCAAUGGGCGAGAGCCUGAACCAGCCAAGUAGCGUGAAGGAUGACUGCCCUAUGGGUUGUAAACUUCUUUUAUAAAGGAAUAAAGUCGGGUAUGCAUACCCGUUUGCAUGUACUUUAUGAAUAAGGAUCGGCUAACUCCGUGCCAGCAGCCGCGGUAAUACGGAGGAUCCGAGCGUUAUCCGGAUUUAUUGGGUUUAAAGGGAGCGUAGAUGGAUGUUUAAGUCAGUUGUGAAAGUUUGCGGCUCAACCGUAAAAUUGCAGUUGAUACUGGAUACCUUGAGUGCAGUUGAGGCAGGCGGAAUUCGUGGUGUAGCGGUGAAAUGCUUAGAUAUCACGAAGAACUCCGAUUGCGAAGGCAGCCUGCUAAGCUGCAACUGACAUUGAGGCUCGAAAGUGUGGGUAUCAAACAGGAUUAGAUACCCUGGUAGUCCACACGGUAAACGAUGAAUACUCGCUGUUUGCGAUAUACGGCAAGCGGCCAAGCGAAAGCGUUAAGUAUUCCACCUGGGGAGUACGCCGGCAACGGUGAAACUCAAAUGAACUGACGUCCAUUUUCCAUUUCUGCA